UACGAAGGGGGCUAGCGUUGUUCGGAAUUACUGGGCGUAAAGCGCACGUAGGCGGAUAUUUAAGUCAGGGGUGAAAUCCCAGAGCUCAACUCUGGAACUGCCUUUGAUACUGGGUAUCUCGAGUAUGGAAGAGGUGAGUGGAAUUCCGAGUGUAGAGGUGAAAUUCGUAGAUAUUCGGAGGAACACCAGUGGCGAAGGCGGCUCACUGGUCCAUUACUGACGCUGAGGCGCGAAAGCCAGGGGAGCAAACGGG
rnacentral:rRNA from 1 species